UAGGGUUUGAUCCUGGCUCAGAACGAACGCUGGCGGCAGGCCUAACACAUGCAAGUCGAGCGAGACCUUCGGGUCUAGCGGCGGACGGGUUAGUAACGCGUGGGAACGUACCCUUUUCUACGGAAUAGCCUUUGGAAACGAAGAGUAAUACCGUAUACGCCCUUUGGGGGAAAGAUUUAUCGGAGAAGGAUCGGCCCGCGUUAGAUUAGAUAGUUGGUGGGGUAAUGGCCUACCAAGUCUACGAUCUAUAGCUGGUUUUAGAGGAUGAUCAGCAACACUGGGACUGAGACACGGCCCAGACUCCUACGGGAGGCAGCAGUGGGGAAUCUUAGACAAUGGGCGCAAGCCUGAUCUAGCCAUGCCGCGUGAGUGAAGAAGGCCUUAGGGUCGUAAAGCUCUUUCGCCAGGGAUGAUAAUGACAGUACCUGGUAAAGAAACCCCGGCUAACUCCGUGCCAGCCGCCGCGGUAAUUCA
rnacentral:rRNA from 1 species